GACGAACGCUGGCGGCGUGCUUAACACAUGCAAGUCGAACGGUAAGGCCCUUCGGGGUACACGAGUGGCGAACGGGUGAGUAACACGUGGGUGAUCUGCCCUGCACUUCGGGAUAAGCCUGGGAAACUGGGUCUAAUACCGGAUAGGACCACUGCCUGCAUGGGUGGUGGUGGAAAGCUUUUGCGGUGUGGGAUGGGCCCGCGGCCUAUCAGCUUGUUGGUGGGGUGAUGGCCUACCAAGGCGACGACGGGUAGCCGGCCUGCGAGGGUGACCAGCCACACUGGGGCUGAGAUACGGCCCAGACUCCGACGGGGGGCAGCAGUGGGGAAUAUUGCACAAUGGGCGCGAGCCUGAUGCAGCGACGCCGCGUGAGGGAUGAUGGCCUUCGGGUUGUAAACCUCUUUCAGCACCGACGAAGCGCAAGUGACGGUAGGUGCAGAAUAAGCUCCGGCUAACUCCGUGCCAGCAGCCGCAGUAA
rnacentral:rRNA from 1 species